rnacentral:rRNA from 1 species
UACGUAGGGGGGCAAGCGUUGUCCGGAAUCAUUGGGCGUAAAGGGCGCGUAGGCGGCCUGCUAAGUCGAACGUGAAAUCCCUGGGCUCAACCCAGGAACUGCGUCCGAUACUGGUUGGCUUGAAUCCGGGAGAGGGAUGUGGAAUUCCAGGUGUAGCGGUGAAAUGCGUAGAUAUUGGGAAGAACACCGGGUGGCGAAGGCGGCUCUCUGGACCGAGACUGACGCUGAGGCGCGAAAGCGUGGGGGAGCAAACAGG